rnacentral:rRNA from 1 species
AGUGAACGCUGGCGGUAUGCCUAACACAUGCAAGUCGAACGGCAGCACAGUAAGAUCUUGCUCUUACGGGUGGCGAGUGGCGGACGGGUGACGAAUACAUCGGAAUCUACUUUUUCGUGGGGGAUAACGUAGGGAAGCUUACGCUAAUACCGCAUAUGAUGUACCGUGGAAAGCAUUGGAACUUUUCACCUUGCGCGAAUGAAUUAGCCGAUGUCGGACUAGCUAGUUGGCGGGGUAAAGGCCCACCAAGGCGACGAUACGUAGCUGGUGUGAGAGGAUGAUCGGCCACACUGGAACUGAGACACGGUCCAGAGUCCUACGGGAGGCAGCAGUGGGGAAUAUUGGGCAAUGGGCGCAAGCCUGAUCCAGCCAUACCGCGUGGGUGAAGAAGGCCUUCGGGUUGUAAAGCCCUUUUGUUGGGAAAGAAAAGCAGCAGGUUAAUACCCCGCUGUUCUGACGGUACCCAAAGAAUAAGCACCGGCUAACUUCGUG